UACGGAGGGGGCUAGCGUUGUUCGGAAUGACUGGGCGUAAAGCGCGCGUAGGCGGAUUGGCAAGUUGGGGGUGAAAUCCCGGGGCUCAACCUCGGAAUGGCCUUCAAGACUGCUGGUCUUGAGUUCGAGAGAGGUGAGUGGAAUUCCGAGUGUAGAGGUGAAAUUCGUAGAUAUUCGGAGGAACACCGAUGGCGAAGGCAGCCCCCUGGGUCAAGAUUGACGCUCAUGCACGAAAGCGUGGGGAGCAAACAGG
rnacentral:rRNA from 1 species